ACAACCAAAGUGCCCAAUCAAACGGCACGGGAAAUUGGACGCACCUGAGGAGCAUUAGGACUGCACGUUUAAAAUGAGUAACAAAAGAAGGAGUGAGACAGACAGGGGCGAGAGGAGGAAGGAUUGACAGAGGGAAACGACAGGCUUGGACGACAGGAGAAAGAGGACGGCAGAAUUCGGCAGGUUCUGGCCGGAACGGAGAGGAAUCAACAGGCUUUGCCAAGGGCGACCGAGUGAACGCACGCAGGCUGGGAAGGCACCCCCGGACCACGCCGUAUACCCUGCAGGCUACCGGAACGAACCCCAAGACGUCCACAACAGGCAGGGGCAGAGGAAACUCUGCCGCCCAAGGGGCGAUUUGGACCCAGAGACCUGCGGAGACCCCCGGAGUGACCAGGAGGCGGAGCGGGACGGGUACGGCCACGUGGGUCCCGCUAGUGACCGAGAUUGGCGAGGAGAGUGGGCGUACCCAAGUCGUUGACGCGGAACUCCAGCAGAGGCAGGGGAAACCCUGCCCUGUGUGAGGAUGCCUUGGAAGGGGGCGGAGCCAAGAUACCCACAUGCCUGUUGGCCCCUCGCCUAUCACAUUUGUACCAUCUGGUAUUUUAGUAUCAACAAAGUGAGUGUUUUUUUUUUUAUUGUAUUUUAAUAAAUUGUGAACCGGUUAA